CAUCUGACACAUAUGUCAUGAGGCAACUGGAAGGAUACUGGGAACAGAAGAAGAAGACACCAGUGUAAAGCUGGGUGGAAUGUUGUGGAGGAGAAUUCCA